CUUUCUUCUGAUGAGUGAACAGCCUCACCGGAACUUCCCCAUCCUCCUGGCUUGGUUCCUGAAGUGGCCCAAGGCUGCCUUCUCCCUCCCGUGGGUGAACAGGGUCACUGCUUCCUCUCUUGUCCAGGCCCCCUGGCCUGACCCUGAGUCCCGGGCGUAACGGCGUUGUUGAACCACCACAACCCCAGGCGGCGCCUUCCUCUUGGCCCAGGGGCUCUCUUGGGGACAGUGUGCAGUACUCCCCAAGGGGGCUUUGCUGUGCAAAAGCAGCCCCUGCCGAUGCUGCGGCUCCCGUGGAUGGAGCACUGCCGUGGGAACAGAGUUGGAACUCAUCCAAAAGAAUAAAAGACAACUGUGUUGGAAGAUUGCCAAGGUUUGUAGCUGUGCCACCGCAGACUUCAGAGAUGAACACUGCCUUGGAGACGAGGAGGAUUCAAGUUGCAGAAGCAUUUAGAAACCUCAAACUUGAGACACGGUGGGAAAUCAGGAAGACAUGAGGCUUUGCUCAACACUGGAGAACACCAGUUCUUUUCAGUUUGUAUGCAUCUUUAUCAGGUAGACACAAACAAAGAGGCAACAAAGAAAUUAGAAGGUUGUAUAAGAAGCUGCAUAGAAUCACAAUGACUGCGUUGUCCUGAAACCAACCCAGGGGGAGCAUGAACCAAUGAAGUACCACCGUACCUGACCAGGGAGACACAGAUGAGGAAUUGCAAAGGAAAGAUGUGGCUGCAUCAGAGAAGCCUGCUCAAUUUUUUGCAGAAGAUGAAUGAUUAAUUCAUCACCUGCAGUGACACUGGACUUAUUAUCAUUUUGCUUUCUAAGACUGUUUUACAAAUAACUGGUCAGUUAGUUAAGAAACUGGGAAAUAUUCAUUAUAAUAUAGUGAAGAAGUUGGUCCAGAAAUUAGAGAUCUGGCUUCUCCUCUCUAUUUUGUCUUUAGCUAAAGAUAAGCAAAACUUUUUCACUCUCUGGACUUCAAUGUUCUCAUCUUA
rnacentral:lncRNA from 1 species